rnacentral:rRNA from 1 species
GAUGAACGCUGGCGGCGUGCCUAAUACAUGCAAGUCGAGCGAACAGACGAGGAGCUUGCUCCUCUGACGUUAGCGGCGGACGGGUGAGUAACACGUGGAUAACCUACCUAUAAGACUGGGAUAACUUCGGGAAACCGGAGCUAAUACCGGAUAAUAUAUUGAACCGCAUGGUUCAAUAGUGAAAGACGGUUUUGCUGUCACUUAUAGAUGGAUUCGCGCCGCAUUAGCUAGUUGGUAAGGUAACGGCUUACCAAGGCAACGAUGCGUAGCCGACCUGAGAGGGUGAUCGGCCACACUGGAACUGAGACACGGUCCAGACUCUUACGGGAGGCAGCAGUAGGGAAUCUUCCGCAAUGGGCGAAAGCCUGACGGAGCAACGCCGCGUGAGUGAUGAAGGUCUUCGGAUCGUAAAACUCUGUUAUUAGGGAAGAACAAAUGUGUAAGUAACUAUGCACGUCUUGACGGUACCUAAUCAGAAAGCCACGGCUAACUACGUG